AAUAAAUUUCUUCACCAAUAAUGCUAAGAAUUGCUAUUCAUAAUAAAAAAUCUUUCCUCUUUAGGAUUACUGGUCAGUUAUAACAACAGGUUUGACGUAAGAUUGGGCACCAGAAAGAUUUAUUUUAUAGCCAAUGUUAUAGCAUAUGCCCUUGGUCUCGUGGUGACCUUUAUUGCUCUUUAUCUGAUGGACAAAGACCAACCAGCAUUGUUGUACCUUGUGCCAUUUACUCUUGUAACAACAUUUGUGAUUGGUGUAUUAGAGGAGAAGCUCGCUCCCUUUGGACUGGUAUUUUAAAACAGGAAAAAACAAGCUCACAGCCUCAAACACAGACUGGGGUGUCAGUUGUAACAGCAAAGGCAGAUGAUCAGAACAGCAGCUGUAGCUCUUCUAGUGGAGGGAGUGAGAGCAGGCUGCUGAUCAAUAAGUGACUAAU